rnacentral:lncRNA from 1 species
AAAAAAAAUCCGCAAACUUAUGUAAGAACGGCUUCGCCGAUUCACAGUUUGAGGAUGAUUUUUUUUGUUCAUACCCCGAUGAACGUAAAAGAAAUAACAGACAAUCCUUAAAUAUUUUAAACAGAAUCUCAUUAUAGCUUGUCUAUAAUGAAUGAAGUAUUGCAGUUCUUUCAUUUUAAUAUAGUUACAAACUUUCUUUUAUUGGAUUCUAAUUGGAUAGCAUCCAAAAAAAAUUCAUGUUAUCCUUUUAAAAUGCAGAUUAUGGAUAUCAAAGGAUGAAUGGAAAUAAUCAAUGUGUAUUUCACAUUCUAUUAUUUGUAAUUAUGAAUAUUGUCUUUUUUGUUGUUAUGUGUAUCAAUCACACCUUUAUCAUGAAAUCACUUCACUACACUAAGCAGGGCUGUACCAUUUGUAGCUGUUAUACACAGUACAUCGAUAUAAAUACAUUUAAAAAUUACAAACAGUUCUUAUAUAUAUAUAUAUACAUAUGGAAAUUAAUUAAGCAACACCCGUAUUUGCUCAGACUGAGCAACUUUAAUGAACUGGUGCAUGAAAGGUGUCAAAGAUUUCCUUACCAUAUGAAAUUUUCAGUGAACAGAAAGGGAUGAGGAGAAACAUAGCCAAUAAUACCAUGACAUAAUGUGGUUUAUUUGAAGAUGGUACAAAUUUGGAAAAUGACUUCCAUUUCAUUCAAAAACAUUACGAAUUUCACUUUUGUUGCACAAACUUAACUGUCAGUACCAUGCACACAUCUGGUUCAUGGAAUUGAAGAAUAAUGUCUGGCAAGUCCAAAUAUUGACUUUCCAUAGGUAUCUCGUGUAACCUCCCUACACAUGAACAACUGCUUCAAGACGCCUCCUCAUUCCUUGAAUCAAUCUCUUGAUUUGAUUUUGAGGAAUCCUGUUCCAAUCCUCAUGCAAAGCAGCAGUCAAUUCAUUGAGAGUCUGGACAGGUGGGCCUCUGUCAAACAUGGCGGCCUAAAAUGUCCCACAGAUGCUCAUUGGGAUUGAGAUCUGGACUCAUGGCUGGCCAUGGAAUGGUCUCAACAGCAUUCUAUUGCAAGAACUGGGUGACAGCACGUGCUCUGUGAGGCCUGGCAUUGUCAUCCAUGAAGAUGGGUCUUGUGGCUAGUGGAUGAUUAUCAAAAUUGGGGAUAACAGCUCUAUUAAGGAUCUCCUGUUGAUACCGAGGCCCAUUAAGGUUACCACGAAUGGUGAUACGGUCCAUCUUGCAACCCAAGGAAAUGCAUCCCCAUACUAUGACUGACCCUCCACCAAAGGGAAACCAUGGCUGUGCUCCUUUGUCUCCAGACACGUGUAUGACCAUCCACCACAUGCAAUAAGAAAUGACUCUCAUCUGAAAAGUGACCCUCCGCCAUGAUGCAAUGUUCCAGCGAACAUGUUGAUUACACCAGGCAAGUCGUGCUGCUUUGUGAGCUGGAGACAGUUUUAUACGCUUGACGGGUGUAUUCUGCUGUUUUCAGCUGAUUCCUGACGGUCCUGUAGGAAAUGGCUCUCUCUGGUAACCACUGUUGUUUUAAAGAUGUGCUUGAGUCCCAUGAACGGCGCCUAACAAGUCUCAACAAUGUUCUAACCUCUCUUAUUGUUGUCUUACGGGGUCUGCCAGGUCUUGGACGAUCUUUAACGUCAUUGGUAGCCCUGUGUUUGUUCAACAGUCUUGAAAUGAUGGAAAUAUUGCGCCCAAGUUGACAUCCAAUUUGUCUGAGGGACAUUCUUGCAUUUGUCAUGCCAAUAAUUUGCCACCUUGUAGCCUCUGAACAUUUACAACGUGCCACGACAAUUAUGGUACUGGAUAUUCAAUGCAACUUGACAGGAGAGAGUGUGACAUGUAAUCAUUACAAACUUGAUUUCAAUACUGUUGAGGGUAUGACAUUUCACGUGCAUUGUUCGUCGUUGCACGUGCAUUGAAUAUCUCCACGAAAGUCAUGCUAUUCAGCAAGAUGCCACAUGUCAAUAAAUCAUUCAGGAAAAUCCUCUGUUUUCUUAAUUCACAGAAUUAUAGGUCUAUGAAUUGGGCGUUGCUUAAUUUAUUUCCAUAUGUAUAUAUAUAUAUAAAAAAAAAAUUCAAGUGGUAUGUUAAAAACUUUCUAAUUUGUAAUGUAUUAAUUUAAAACAAAAAUUGUUAUCCAACUUACUGGCUCCUAAUGUCAAUUCCAUCUUGUUACUAUAUCUGACACCAAUUCCUGACAUUUUUAUGGAAAGUCAUUCUGAAUGUCUUGACAAGCCUUGUAUUUUAAAACAUGCAGCCGUUUGAAAAACAACCCACCUAGAUAAUCACUUUAUAGGCUAGACAAGUUUUUUGUUUUUAUUUUGAGGGGGGAAAAUGGUGUAUUAUCUUCCAUUGCACAUUUUGGUAUAAAACUUUAAAUAUUGUUUCCACUGAAAUCAACUGAAAAUUAAAAUUUAAUAAAAAAAAUAUUAAAAUUUUCAUCAGUUAAAAAAAUGUUGGGUUUUUUUAGUAGGAGAAUAAAAAAAAAACCCUGCACUUUAUGUUCAUAUUUCUAUAGGUGUGCAUUACUUUCUCUAGCAUGAUUGUCAGCAUGCUUAAAAUUUAUUUAAGUCUGUAAUAAUAUGCAUGGUUGAUCCUUUGCCUUAAAACACAAGGCCUGCUUAAGAUCCUGGCAGAUUUAUGCAAAUGCUGGUUUUGAUUGGUCAAAUGAUGGGUCACCUGGACAUUGAAUGUCAUUGGGUUAGCUCAUAUCAUCUAACAGAGUUGACAGUAAGAUAUGAAAUGCGAUUGAUUUUAUUCUGUAUGUUAUCACCUGUUGUAUUGUACUGUCUUUCCUCCCUAUGCAUAUCUCACCGGUAUAAGAGUCCAUGGUAUUACUUGAUCUCCAGUACAUUAUCCUUUUGCAUUACAAAUUGUAUUCUUCAGCUGCAUGUAAUAUAACAUAUACAUGUAUGUCCACUUAUUAUAUAGUUUUAUUGAAUUCCAAAUCAACUAUACAAUAGUCUUGCAUGAUUUAACCUCGAUAUCUAUUUGUGGCAAUUUAUUACCAUAGUUUCUGCAAACAUUAUGUAGGUGGAGUGUAUAGUGUGAAAGUGAUGAUUAUUAUGUAGGUGGAGUGUAUAGUGUGAAAGUGAUGAUUAUUAUGUAGGUGGAGUGUAUAGUGUGAAAGUGAUGAUUAUUAUGUAGGUGGAGUGUAUAGUGUGAAAGUGAUGAUUAUUAUGUAGGUGGAGUGUAUAGUGUGAAAGUGAUGAUUAUUAUGCUGAUACAGUAUUAGAUAUUUUAGUUGAAACCAAGAUUGGCAACAGUAGCGCUUCUUGUAAGUAUAAAGUACUGGUACCGACCACUGCAGGCAAAACCCAGUAUUAUAGAAUGAUAAUUACAUAAUACAUAUGUAUGAGCAGAUUUGUUUACAUUUCAGUGACAGUAUUAAAUGUUUAAUAUUUUAGUUUUUAUGUUUUUAAUAAUCAUAAACAGAUACCAUUGUACAAUUACUAAAUUGUUAAAAGAAAUUUCCGCUUGGUACCAUAAAUGGUAUUGUUAAAGCACUGGUAUGUUUUUAGAAUUAAUAUUUUAUGGGUGUGAUCAUCCACAAUCUGCUAAUUUUGUGAUAUAUUUUAUUUCUAAUGUAUGAUACAGUGGAACCUGCCUAAAAUAUUAUUCUGUGGAAACCAGCAGACUUUCUUGUUCCAAAAUGUAUCACCAUUUAUUCUGUAUUAAAACGUUGAAAAAUCUGGAACCAGUAUCCAUUCCAGCACACCUAUUGUUUGGGGUUUUCUCCAUCCCAAACAAUUCCAGAUUGGUAUAUUUAAGCUCAUGGUACUACAUGUAUUUAAAAAAUGAAUAUAAAAAGAUACCUUGCUGUUAAUGGAAAAAUGUAGCAGGUUUUCAGGUGUUCAUAUUUUUUCCAAAUAUUAAAAGUUUUUUUUAAUUAUACUAUGUUUAUACUGUUUUUGUGAUUGAGCUCGUGAAAAUAUGUUUGAAAUUUAGCACAAUACAUAAUUUAUUCUUAACCACAAAUGUUGCAAAUAUGCAACAACCCCCAAUUUAUUUCCGGGGGGGGGGGGGGGGGGGGGUGUGUGUGUGUGUGUGUGUGUGUGUGUGUAUAUGAACCAAAAUAACUUCAGAAAUGGGUUCCAACUAUAAAUAUUAAUAUUUACCCUAAAAAAAAAAAAAAUCCUACGGACAGAAUUAAUUCUGCUUUGAAAGGGUUAAAAAUGUGCCAAGAUAUUGUCAAAACAUGUUUUCUUUUGAAUAUCCCUUCUGUAUGUAUGAAAUUUUGUUCAACUCUUCUUGACAGAUUUGAAUUUAGCUUCUAUCACUGUAUAAGAUAGUGAGCUGAUUGGUUCUUAACAUUAUACAUAUUAUGCAACUGGUGUAUCUUUUGUAGCUGAAGAAUACAAUGCUUUGUUUAAAUGUUAUAUUUAUUGUUACGUUUUUUUACAGUUUUGCUUGAACAUGUCCUUAUUUAUUUAUUUUAUGGUUAUAAUAUAUUUCAAAAUAAAAUGUUCCUUCUGCUA